GUUUGCGUAGCUUAAACUUAAAGCAUGGCACUGAAGAUGCUAAGAUGAAAACUAAUACAUUCCACAAAUA
rnacentral:tRNA from 1 species